UAACACGUGGAUCAUCUACCUUCUAGUGGGGAAUACCGUUGGGAAACCGACGACAAUACCGCAUAAGCUCGAGAGAGGAAAGCGGCUUUGUGAAAGCAAAGACGCGCUGGAAGAGGAGUCCGCGGCUGAUUAGCUAGUUGGUGAGGUAACGGCCCACCAAGGCAUUGAUCAGUAGCCGGCCUGAGAGGGCACACGGCCACACUGGCACUGAAACACGGGCCAG
rnacentral:rRNA from 1 species